GAUGAACGCUGGCGGCGUGCCUAAUUACAUGCAAGUCGAACGCGAGCACUUGUGCUCGAGUGGCGAACGGGUGAGUAAUACAUAAGUAGCCUGCCCUAGACAGGGGGAUAACUAUUGGAAACGAUAGCUAAGACCGCAUAGGUACGGACACUGCAUGGUGACCGUAUUAAAAGUGCCUCAAAGCACUGGUAGAGGAUGGACUUAUGGCGCAUUAGCUGGUUGGCGGGGUAACGGCCCACCAAGGCGACGAUGCGUAGCCGACCUGAGAGGGUGACCGGCCACACUGGGACUGAGACACGGCCCAGACUCCUACGGGAGGCAGCAGUAGGGAAUUUUCGGCAAUGGGGGAAACCCUGACCGAGCAAACGCCGCGUGAAGGAAGAAGAUUUUCGGAUUGUAAAACUUCUGUUAUAAAGGAAGAACGGCGGCUACAGGAAAUGGUAGCCGAGUGACGGUACUUUAUUAGAAAGCCACGGCUAACUACGUGCCAGCCGCCGCGGUAACACCUGAGACGCCAA
rnacentral:rRNA from 1 species